rnacentral:lncRNA from 1 species
GACAGGAGUCACAAAGCACAUACACAGCUGUGCCCAAUACAUCGUGCAGCCAAGUACACACAAUAGGAGGCAGUUUAACAAGUAGGGAAGACAUAUACCUGCUCCUUCCGAGUUUCACCUGGAGGAAGAGUCUACAAAGAAAGGGAAGAAGGUUGCAUCUGGUAACAGAGUGAAGUGGAAGAGAUCUUGCAACAUUUCCUGCCCCACUGACCCCCUACUUUGGGCCUUAGCCCCAAGAGAAGAAGUAUGACUACCCUACUGUUCACAAACAAAGAUGUGGAAUCAACCUAAGUGUCCAUCAAUGGAUAAUUGGAUAAAGAAAAUGUGGCAUAGAUCUAUACAAUGGAAUACUAUUCAGCUAUAAAAAAGACUGAAAUCACAUCUUUUACAAAAACAUGGAUGAAACUGGAGGCCAUUCUCUUUAAGUGAAAUCACUCGGAAAUAGAAAGUCAAAUACCGCAUGUUCUCACUUACAAGUGGGAGCUACAUAAUAUGUACUCAUGGACAUAGAGUGUGGAAUGAUGGACAUUGGAGACUUGGAAGGGUGGAGGUGGAUGGGAGGGGUUGAGGGAUGAGAAAUUAUUUAAUAGGUACAAUGUAUAUUAUUUCGGUGAUGGUUACACUAAAAACCCAGACUUCACCACUGGGCAAUAUAUCCGUGUAAUAAAACUGCAUUUGUACCCCUUAAAUUUAUACAACUAAUAAAUAAAGAAGUAUGGCUACUCUUCUAGAGAAAUAACAUGGAGAGGUCCUGAACAGCAGCA